UGCUGCAGCCACUGCUGGUCUGG
rnacentral:miRNA from 1 species